CUCAAAGGAAUUGACGGGGGCCCGCACAAGCGGUGGAACAUGUGGUUUAAUUCGACGCAACGCGAAGAACCUUACCUGGCCUUGACAUGCUGAGAACUUUCCAGAGAUGGAUUGGUGCCUUCGGGAACUCAGACACAGGUGCUGCAUGGCCGUCGUCAGCUCGUGUCGUGAGAUGUUGGGUUAAGUCCCGUAACGAGCGCAACCCCUAUCCCUAGUUGCUAGCAGUUCGGCUGAGAACUCUAGGGAGACUGCCGGUGACAAACCGGAGGAAGGUGGGGAUGACGUCAGGUCAUCAUGGCCCUUACGGCCAGGGCUACACACGUGCUACAAUGGUGCGUAUAGAGGGUUGCAAACCCGCGAGGGGGAGCCAAUCUCACAAAACGCAUCGUAGUCCGGAUCGGAGUCUGCAACUCGACUCCGUGAAGUCGGAAUCGCUAGUAAUCGUGAAUCAGAAUGUCACGGUGAAUACGUUCCCGGGCCUUGUACACACCGCCCGUCAC
rnacentral:rRNA from 1 species